UUGCAGCAGAAACACCCUGCUAAAGAACAAGUAUCUUGGUUCACAGCAAAGAGGACAAAGGAAAACAGCAAGUUAUAGGGAGUUGAAUGCUGGAUUGAACCACCGGGACCGCUGCCUUCUUGAGAUGCCAAGAAGAGACUCAAGAUCUAAGGGAGUGAAUGAGGGAUCAUGUCCUAUUUGGCCACUCUGUCACGCUGUCUUUGCUUCCUUUUGCUAACACAUGACCAAUCUUCAAACUCCAAAGGUGGCUGGUAUACAUAAGUCAACAACAAAGCACUCUCUCCUCUUCUGGGCAGAGGCUGUCACACCGGAACACUAUCCCAGCGCAUCUGCAAGCCUGGAAGACAGUCAUCCCUCUACAAGAUGCCGAUAGCAUUUCACAACCUGCUCAACCACUU